AUGAUGUGUCAUUGAAGACUAUUACCAUUAGUCCAUUCCUGUGGACAGAACUCUUCCAACCUGAUGUCACCAACCCUCUGGAGAAGGCAGGGCAUGCUAGAUUGGUCCAUCCCAGACAACUGAAAGACCAAUUUGGAUUCUCGAUGGAGCUUGGGAUUUCCCUGAGGAUCUGAAAUAUUUUUAUGGACUUCAAGUUUUACUUUGAUGAAGAGAGUACAAAGUUGACGGACUUCAAAUUUGGUUGUGACUUUUUGUAACAACUCUUUUUUAAUUGAAUCCAUACUGGUAUUUUCAAAUGUUGACAAAAUUGGCACGUAUGGUUAAAUUCACUCUUUUCAAUUUUCCUGCUAAUAUUUAUAAACCUAAAUUUGAUUUUCUACUACAACUACACAAUGCCAGCUAUAUAAAUAUAUCGCUUCUCAGCAAACUCAGCAGCAAAUGUACCAUUUAUGGCCAGCAUCUAUGUCUUUCAACAUCCUUUUGCUCAGGAAAGCAGGGCCUGGAUAGCUACUAAAGCUAAAACAAUGCAUGAAGUCAUCCGAUGGGCAAAGAUCCACAAGUUCAAUUCCCAGCAGAGGAUUUGAAUCCCAAAGAAUAAACAUCUGGCUACCCACAUCUGAAGCAUCCCAGUAAGGAUGACAACGAUCGCAUGUAACUAAUUAUAAAAAUAAGUUCUCAGGUAAUCCUCACCUCAUGGUAGUAAUUUGGACUGGAAUUUCAUCACUAAGCGAUGCAGUCAUGAAGUGGAGUGUCUUGAGACACCUAUAGGUGAUGGCACCUAUGGUAGUUCUCACUGCUGUUAAAUAAAAACAGGACCUCAUGUGA